GCACUGCUGAGGAGUCCCAUACUAGGACGUAAACGGCCGUCCAGUGC
rfam:Schistosoma curassoni strain Dakar, Senegal genome assembly, scaffold: SCTD_contig0011890